rnacentral:rRNA from 1 species
CCUACGGGUGGCAGCAGUGGGGAAUAUUGCACAAUGGGGGAAACCCUGAUGCAGCGACGCCGCGUGAAGGAAGAAGUAUUUCGGUAUGUAAACUUCUAUCAGCAGGGAAGAAAAUGACGGUACCUGACUAAGAAGCCCCGGCUAACUACGUGCCAGCAGCCGCGGUAAUACGUAGGGGGCAAGCGUUAUCCGGAUUUACUGGGUGUAAAGGGAGCGUAGACGGUAUGGCAAGUCUGAAGUGAAAGCCCAGGGCUGAACCCUUGGACUGCUUUUGAAACUGUUGGACUAGAGUGCUGGUGAGGGAAGUGGAAUUCCUGGUGUAGCGGUGAAAUGCGUAGAUAUUAGGAAGAACACCAGUGGCGAAGGCGGCUUACUGGACAAUAACUGACGUUGAGGCUCGAAAGCGUGGGGAGCAAACAGGAUUAGAUACCCGAGUAGUC